rnacentral:rRNA from 1 species
GACGAGCGCUGGCGGCAUGCCUAAUACAUGCAAGUCGAGCGAACAGAUGAAGUGCUUGCACUUCUGACGUUAGCGGCGAACGGGUGAGUAACACGUAAGGAAUCUACCUAUAAGCGGGGGAUAACAUUCGGAAACGGGUGCUAAUACCGCAUAAUAUCUUCUUCCGCAUGGAAGAAGAUUGAAAGACGGCUCUGCUGUCACUUAUAGAUGACCUUGCGGUGCAUUAGUUAGUUGGUGGGGUAACGGCCUACCAAGACGAUGAUGCAUAGCCGACCUGAGAGGGUGAUCGGCCACAUUGGGACUGAGACACGGCCCAAACUCCUACGGGAGGCAGCAGUAGGGAAUCUUCCGCAAUGGGCGAAAGCCUGACGGAGCAAUGCCGCGUGAGUGAAGAAGGCCUUCGGGUCGCAAAACUCUGUUAUAAGAGAAGAACAAAUUGUAGAGUAACUGCUACAGUCUUGACGGUAUCUUAUCAGAAAGCCACGGCUAACUACGUGCCAGCCGCCGCCGUAA